AGUGAACGCUGGCGGUAGGCCUAACACAUGCAAGUCGAACGGCAGCACAGUAAGAGCUUGCUCUUACUGGUGGCGAGUGGCGGACGGGUGAGGAAUACAUCGGAAUCUACUUUUUCGUGGGGGAUAACGUAGGGAAACUUACGCUAAUACCGCAUACGACCUACGGGUGAAAGCAGGGGAUCUUCGGACCUUGCGCGAUUGAAUGAGCCGAUGUCGGAUUAGCUAGUUGGCGGGGUAAAGGCCCACCAAGGCGACGAUCCGUAGCUGGUCUGAGAGGAUGAUCAGCCACACUGGAACUGAGACACGGUCCAGACUCCUACGGGAGGCAGCAGUGGGGAAUAUUGGACAAUGGGCGCAAGGCUGAUCCAGCCAUACCGCGUGGGUGAAGAAGGCCUUCGGGUUGUAGAGCCCUUUUGUUGGGAAAGAAAAGCAGCAGGUUAAUACCCCGCUGUUCUGACGGUACCCAAAGAAUAAGCACCGGCUAACUUCGUG
rnacentral:rRNA from 1 species